ensembl:lncRNA
GUGAUGAGACAGAGCCUUUCACCCCCACAUUUCUCCCAUGAACCUCAGAAUUAGCCCAACUGGGAUGUCUCUGCCCUUUCCCAGCCCUAUGUCCAUCGGACAGAACAGCCCCGGGCUGUUGCUGUGCGGUGUUGGCAGGAGAUCAUCAGGGUCCUGGCAGCUGGCGGGGUCAGAGCCCAGCAUAGCGCUGCUCGGGGCUGAUGCCAUCUCCGCUCGGAUCAUCUGCAGCACUGUGAUUGCUGCACAGGGACCGACUCCAGAUAUUAAAGCUCCUCAGAGAGCCACAUCCCAACCCAGCACCGCUCAACAUCCCCAAAAUUACCCCAGGGACAAAUUGGCCCACCAGACCUACAGCGCUGACAGCAACAGCUCAGAAACAGCGUGAAAUCUAAAUUAAGUUGAGAGUCUCUUUUCUAAACAAAUUCCUUCUUGAAGAACCAAACCCAGACUUCAUUAUAACAACUCAAUUAUACACGAGGCUGAGCUCCAGUGCGCUCACAGAGACAAGAAGUUUGCCGUGAGUGUUUCACGCUUCGCUCAAAUUAUGACUUCCUUCAAUGCAAAUGGGAGGUUCGGCGAGCAAUGCACAUUUCCCCAAUGCUGCUCAGAAAACAAAUUACAUCGAUGUCUAUUAGGAAGCAGAAGCAGGGCUUCUGUAGGAACAGUGGUUUCUCCAGGGUGAAUUUCUGUGAGGUCUCUCCAGGGUUGCGUUGUGGGGUGAGAAAGCAAAGAGUGACCCCAAAGAGCCUCCAGGACAGCAGAGCCAUCCCUGCUGCUCUGCACAGAACUCAGCCCACUGCACCGUGGGUUUGAUGGAUGCUAUUGAAGCACCAGCAGCAGGAGCAGAUCUCAGCACAUGGGCAGUUCUUGGGGGGCUGACCCCCUCUGGGGGGGACCAGGGGGCAAAGCCCUCUCCUGUGGCCCCAUCUCUCUCCCCAUCAAUAAACAAAGAGCAAAUAUGCAGCAUGAGAGCAGUAAAUAAACUUCUGUAGCCCCGCGGUGUCCCUCUGCCAAAUAAACUCAGUAGGGAUACAUUUUUUCUUGAGCCAUCUUUCACACCAAAUAAAGUCUUGAGGAAUAAAGUGACACUUCUGGCAGGUGCUGAAGCCGUGCUCACAGAGGCACUCAGUGUGUCCUUCUCCUGUCGCUCGUCGUCCCCAAAGCUGCAGAACACCCAUUUGCAAGGACAGACCCCACAUCAACACUGGUGAGAGGCAGAAGCUCAGAGCAGCAUCAUAGUCUCAGCCUUUGCUCUGAAUACAGUGCACAGCAGCUUAGGAAACACAAAUGUGUGACUUCCAUCCCUGCUUGGAGGCACUGGGGAACGCUGCUGCUCACCCUCCUGAGUUCCCACCCAACGUUAUCUCGCUUUCUAUCACAGCAGCAGCUUCCCCUGGGCUCAGAGUGAGGUCGUGAGAUUUUGUGUUCUUCAUACAAUUCCAUCAAACUGCCUCAGGAAGAAGAAAAUAAACCCUGCAAUAAGUCUUCCUGCUGAUUAUUUGCUGGGAUGAAUGGAUGGAUGGAUGGAUGGAUGGAUGGAUGGAUGGAUGGAUGGAUGGAUGGAUGGAUGGAUGGAUGGAUGGAUAAAAAAAAUAAAAGAAGAAGAAUUUACAGGUAAUUUCCUUGUCAAAAGUUCCUGUCUAUAAAUACAAUCAAGAUAAGAAUGACAUAGCAAAUAGCUCUUUUUCUCUCCUGAAUGAAUUAUUCAGUUCACCACUGAUCCUCUCUAACUGCUUUAUAUUGCCUUCUGCUUUCUGUAUUUAUUUUACUUUAUUUAGUGCUGUAGAGAAGCGCCGCCAAUAAUUGAAAUGAAUUCAGGCAAUUGCAGGAUCCCACAAAUCCCUCCUGGGGCCCCAGCUCAGCCCGAGCCCCCCCUGCUCCUUCCUCACUCUUCUCUCCAAGCCAUCACAAACCGUCUGUGUGUCCCAGCACAACAUGUGGAUCUGGGCUCUCUUCUUAUGCAGAAGCAGUCCCCAAAGCAGGAGAACUGGUGUUGGAAUCACCCAGUCCUGGACAAGCCCUGCUUUGGGUUGCAGCUGUGUUUUAGGAGAGGUUAAUGGGAGCCACAGGGAUGGGAAUCAUAGAAUCGUGGAAUGGUUUAGGUUGGAAGGGACCUCUACAACCAUUGAGUCUCAAACCCCCGCUGGAUGCCCCUCACAAGAUCAGACCAGGGACGCCCUUUGGCACCUCCAGGGAUGGGGAACCCACAGCUCUGGGCAGCAGUGCCAGCACCUCAACCCCUCUGAGUAAAGAAUUUUUUUUUUUCCUAGCACCUGAAGACAUCCAGGAUUGCCCCAACCCAGGUGGAACACCUUGGCCUUGCUGAACCUCAUUUGGCUCUUUUGGGCCCACUUCUCAAACCUGUCCAGGUCCCUCUGGAUGGCGUCCCUUCUUUCUGUUGUAUCAACUGCACCCCUCAGCUUGAUGUCAUCAGUAAAGUUGCUGUGGGUGGACUUGGUUCCACUGUCUAUGUCACUGCAGAGCACGAGUCCCAGGAUAGACCUCUGGGGGACACCACUCCUCACCAACCUCCACCCACACAUAGAGCCAUUGAUAACGACUGAUUAUGACCACCCAACCAAGUCCUCCUCCAACCAACAGUCCAGCCUUCAAAUCCAUCUCUCCAACUUAGCGUGAGGUGUCAGACCAUGUCAAAGGCCUUGCACAAGGGAGCAGCCAUGUGUUCUCCUUCCCAGCACGGAGGGAUGGAGAGAAGCCCAAGGAAUGGUCAUCGACCCACUGAACUGCAAAUGUGUGGUUGAGGAGAUUGAGAACAGCCAAGCCCAGGAAAAUUCCCCUUGGUCAUGUUCCUUAAUUGUUCAUCCUUGGAGAGACAGCAACCUCUGCUCUAUAUGCCUGUGCUGGAUUUUUUGUUUUCUUUUUAAAAGUAAGACAGAAAUCCUCGUAACACAUCAAUAAAGAGCCACGCUGUAGACAGCAUCUGAAAGCAAGAAAAUAAUAUUACUACAGAAAAGGAAAAAAAAAAAAAAAAAGCAACACAACAGCACCAAAAGCUAAUAAAAGCAUUACUCGAGAAACAGAACUGUUUCGAAGCAGCCAAAGAAUAUCCACAAUGAUGAUUCAAUUACACAGAAGAUUAGUGUUGGUCUGUCUGCGGAGCCAAGAGUUUCUCACGGAGGUUUUGAGCUGAGGAAUGGGUGAUGACUUCAUAAAACCUGAGCGUAAUGGGGUGGAGGGACAAGAAAAACAAACAACAAAAAAACAAGAAGAAAAAUGCCCCCAAAACAGCAGAAACCAGACCAAUAAAAUCUCAUUCCAAUCAUGGAACAAAUCGUGUAGAUUUUUAUUUUUUUUUUCCCUGGGAGCAGAUUUCAGCUAGGGCAACAUUUCUUUAAGGUAUUGAUUAGCAAUUAGAGAGGUGUUUUAGCUGCUUCUCUGCUGUGUCCCUGUCAUUCCCUCCAGAAUUUCAAUUCCACGAGUACUAUUUCCAUCCUGCAGCGGAGCCAGGCGAGAAUCACUGCCCAACCCCACAGCUCCAGGCACUCCCUGCUGCUAAAGGAUUUGGGGUGGAGUGGGGUCCAGCUUCAGAAAAAAUAGAAAACCCUGAAAAGGAUGAAAAUUAAUCUUGAUUUGAGCCAGGAGGCGGUGGAUGGCUUGGAAUACAUUGGGCACAGGGCUGGGGUGUAGGAGUCUGCUUAACUCACAUAGUUUUAUCAGCCAGAGCUUUGGUUUGCCCCAUAGGCGCUAUAUCAGCAGCCAUCCCACUCAGCAUGAAGGGCAGCAACCAGGAGAGGAGGCUCUGUGGAACAGAUUACCCAGAGAAGCUAUGGGUGUCCCAUCCCUGGAGGUGCCCAAGGCCAAGCUGGGAGGGGGGGCACCCAUUUUACAGCAGAGGCAGGGCUUUAAGGUCCCUUCCAACCCAACCAUCCCAUGGUUCUAUGAUCUUUAAGGUCCCUUCCAACCCAACCACUCCAUGGAAAUAUGAUCUUUAAGGACCCUUCCAACCCAAACAUUCUAUGAUUCUACAAAGAUACCAAUGGAGACUUGCACUGAAAACCAUCAAACUCAAAACACAUUGCCUUCAAUAAUCAACAGAGGGAAGCCACCAUCACCUCCCACAAAGGAGUGGCCAGUCUUUUCCUCUAGUGGUAAUUUUCCUGCCUUUUUAUUUGGUUCCACUUAAAAUGGGGAUUCUUAAGAGCAAGAAAAAUAACAAACGGAUUUCUCUUCAGAUAAUUCAUAAGGGCUCCGAGUGCAUUGUAAAUGCAUGCCUUUAUCCAACAGGCAAUUUGAUGUAU